rnacentral:rRNA from 1 species
AUUGAACGCUGGCGGCAGGCCUAACACAUGCAAGUCGAGCGGUAGAGAGGUGCUUGCAUCUCUUGAGAGCGGCGGACGGGUGAGUAAUGCCUAGGAAUCUGCCUGGUGGUGGGGGAUAACGUUCGGAAACGGACGCUAAUACCGCAUACGUCCUACGGGAGAAAGCGGGGGAUCUUCGGACCUCGCGCCAUUAGAUGAGCCUAGGUCGGAUUAGCUAGUUGGUGAGGUAAUGGCUCACCAAGGCGACGAUCCGUAACUGGUCUGAGAGGAUGAUCAGUCACACUGGAACUGAGACACGGUCCAGACUCCUACGGGAGGCAGCAGUGGGGAAUAUUGGACAAUGGGCGAAAGCCUGAUCCAGCCAUGCCGCGUGUGUGAAGAAGGUCUUCGGAUUGUAAAGCACUUUAAGUUGGGAGGAAGGGUCGUAACCUAAUACGUUGCGGCUUUGACGUUACCGACAGAAUAAGCACCGGCUAACUUCGUGCCAGCCGCCGCUGUAAAAC